UACGGAGGGUGCAAGCGUUAUCCGGAUUCACUGGGUUUAAAGGGUGCGUAGGAGGGCAGGUAAGUCAGUGGUGAAAUCUUCGAGCUUAACUCGGAAACUGCCGUUGAUACUAUCUGUCUUGAAUACCGUGGAGAUGAGCGGAAUAUGUCAUGUAGCGGUGAAAUGCUUAGAUAUGACAUAGAACACCAAUUGCGAAGGCAGCUCGUUACGCGAAUAUUGACUCUGAGGCACGAAAGCGUGGGGAUCAAACAGG
rnacentral:rRNA from 1 species